rnacentral:rRNA from 1 species
ACGGGGUGCAGCAGGGGCGAAACCUUCGCAAUGGGCGAAAGCGCGACGAGGGGAGCCCGAGUGCCCUUCCUUUCGGGAGGGCUUUUCUGGAGCCUAAAAAGCUCCAGGAAUAAGGGCUGGGCAAGACGGGUGCCAGCCGCCGCGGUAAUACCCGCAGCUCGAGUGGUGGCCACUAUUAUUGAGCCUAAAGCGUCCGUAGCCGGACCCGUAAAUCCCUGGGUAAAUCCUGGCGCUCAACGUCAGGAAUUCCGGGGAGACUGCGGGUCUUGGGACCGGGAGAGGCCGGAGGUACUCCCGGGGUAGGGGUAAAAUCCUGUAAUCUCGGGGGGACCACCUGUGGCGAAAGCGUCCGGGUUGAACGGGUCUGACGGUGAGGGACGAAGGGCAGGGGAGCAAACCGGAUUAGAUACUCGGGUAGUCUUGGCUGUAAACGCUGCCUGGUUGGUGUUGUCGGUCUUUCGGGGGCCGGCAGUGCCGGAGCGAAGGUGUUAAGCGGGCCGCUUGGGGAGUACGGCCGCAAGGGUGAAACUUAAAGGAAUUGGCGGGAGAGCACUGCAACGGGAGGAGCGUGCGGUUUAAUUGGAUUCAACGCCGGAAAACUCACCGGGGGCGACCCGGCCUAUGUGGGCCAGGCUGACGACCUUGCCCGAAUAAGAGCCCGGAGAGGUGGUGCAUGGCCCUCGUCAGCUCGUACCGUAGGGCGUUCACUUAAGUGUGAUAACGAGCGAGACCCCCGUCCCCAGUUGCCACCCGUCCCUCCGGGGGCGAGCACACUGGGGAGACCGCCAGCGCUAAGCUGGAGAAGGUGGGGUCAACGGUAGGUCAGUACGCCCCGAAUCCCCCGGGCUACACGCGCGCUACAAAGGGCGGGACAAUGGGUUGCGACCCCGAAAGGGGGA